rnacentral:rRNA from 1 species
UUCAUGGAGAGUUUGAUCCUGGCUCAGGACGAACGCUGGCGGCGUGCCUAAUACAUGCAAGUCGAGCGGACAGAUGGGAGCUUGCUCCCUGAUGUCAGCGGCGGACGGGUGAGUAACACGUGGGUAACCUGCCUGUAAGACUGGGAUAACUCCGGGAAACCGGGGCUAAUACCGGAUGCUUGAUUGAACCGCAUGGUUCAAUUAUAAAAGGUGGCUUCGGCUAUCACUUACAGAUGGACCCGCGGCGCAUUAGCUAGUUGGUGAGGUAACGGCUCACCAAGGC